CAAUUGUGACCUCCUGUAAAGAGGCUUAGUUUUUGGUUUGUUUCUUUGGAGGGGGAGUUAGUUGAAAUAAACCACUCUCCUCUUCUUUUGUUUGUUUUCUGUGAACUGGGCUGCAGAAAGGCCUGGCUACUUUCAUUCUGUGAAUCUCUUGUGUACCUUGAAAGAGGGAGGAUUUUUUCAGUUUGGCUGGAGGAUCAAAUUACCCUUCUUGUCAGAGGGAAACCAAGGCAGAAGAUCUGCACAUGACAAAAAGGCCCAGUUGGAUACAGCUUUAUCAAACCAGUUUGCUCAUCCCUAGAUAUGGUGGCCAUAAAGCAUGAUAUCUCAUGAUACAUAAAUGGCAAUACACUCAGUCUACAUUGGAACCAGCAUACAGCUCUGUGAAAGGAGAGACUGAGAUGCUGAGCACCCACAAUUUGAACUGAAGUUAAUGGAAGCUGCUAGAUGCCCAGUGCCUCUGAAAGUCAGGACCCUUAUGAGAGACUACAGCAGAUUCCACAAAAGGUAGAUAUGUUACUGGAAUAGCUGUAUUUUGUGGUUGGAAAUUCACUAUUUAAAAAGUAAGCUACAAAGUGAUGAACCAGGAAGUGGAAGUUUCAAUGUAAACAUCCAUCUCUCCACUGCCCUACUGUGACUUGUAACACAAGCAGGGGCGGCUGUACCAAUUUUGCCGCCCCAGGCAGUUACCGCCGAAUUGCUGCUGUGCCGGGGCAGAAGAGCGGCAGAGCUGCCGCCAAAUUGCUGCCAUGGGACACGGACUGCCGCCCCAUUCUCAGUGCUUGGAAAGCUGGUGCCUGGAGCCGACCCUGAACACAGGUGUCUGACAUGGGUGGAUUUACAUGUCUGUGUAGUUUAGUGUGCAUACACGGUGACUCACCACUGACGCUUCAGCCUUAAGUUUGCAUUUCUUAACUUUCCUCAAAUCAAAACUUCACAACCCCAGUGUUACUUUAAAAAGGGAGAGUUCAAUUUAGUACAUUACUAUUUUUUUUCCUACACAGGAUUCCUUGUACAGGACUUUAGUAGGACCAUAUAAGCCCUGUACUUCAAAUCACUCACUUCAAUUUUUGUUUUAGUGAACAUUGCUGGCUAUGGACACUGAACACCGAAAGAAAGACUUUUCCUUUUCUGUUAAAUGACUACAAAACUUUGUAUGCUUGUAACAUUUAAAUUGAUGGAGGUAGCGAUCAGUGUCUGAGAGUACUUAAAGCAUUAUUAAAUUCCCCUUUUCACUUGGAUUGAUCCAAGUAUGAAGCAAUAGCUCUCCGUCUUC